rnacentral:rRNA from 1 species
UACGUAGGGUGCGAGCGUUAAUCGGAAUUACUGGGCGUAAAGCGUGCGCAGGCGGUUCGUUGUGUCCGUCGUGAAAGCCCCGGGCUUAACCUGGGAACUGCGAUGGAAACUAGCGAGCUGGAGUGUGGCAGAGGGGGGGUGGAAUUCCACGUGUAGCAGUGAAAUGCGUAGAGAUGUGGAGGAACACCAAUGGCGAAGGCAGCCCCCUGGGAUGACACUGACGCUCAUGCACGAAAGCGUGGGGAGCAAACAGG